AUGCACCCAUCAGAUGACUUGGGAGACAGGGACUGUUGCAUCAUCUCUCAGCAAUCCCUCCACUUCAUGCCAACUGCAAAAACCAUCUUCUGGCCCCCUUCCUCCUUCCUCAAAGUUGCAGCAGCCAUAGCCUUUCAAGGUGGGGCCCAGAGUGCAACCCAGAGCAGGGAGCUUCUUCCGGGCUUCUGUGUGGUCCCUUGAAGUUAUGUAACAGAAAGCAAGAGUGAAUAUGUAAAUGUGUUGAAGCAAUCUACAUGGAAAAGAUUUUGGAGACUGAUUAAUAAGUACAGCAUGAUUGCAUUUAAAAAUUGUAUCUUGGGCAGCCCGGGUGGUUCAGUGGUUUAGCGCCACCUUCAGCCCAGGGUGUGAUCCUGGAGACCUGGGAUUGAGUCCCACGUCAGGCUCCCUGCAUGGAGCCUGCUCCACCCUCUCCCUCUGCCUGUGUCUCUGCCUCUCUCUCCCUGUCUCUGUGUCUCUUGUGAAUAAAUAAAUAAAAUCUUAAAAAAAAAAAUUGUAUUUCUGGGGUGCCUGGGUGGCUCAGUCAGUUUAGCAUCCAGAUCUUGAUUUCAGUUCAGGUCAUGAUCUCAGGGUCAUGGGAUCAAGCCCCACAUCAGGCUCCACACUCAGCAUGGAGUCUGCUUGUCCCUCUCCCUCUGCUCCUCACCCAUCUUAUUCUCUCUCUCUCUCUCUCUCUCUCCCUCUCCAAAAUAAAGAAAUAAAAUCUUUAAAAAUUAUAUCUCUGAAGAUUGAUUCCUUUAGAGAAUGCUUCCCCUCUAAACCUGGUUUUUAAUUGGCUCGGCCGUACACCCUCAAAUUAUUGCUUAUUCUUUAAGAAAUAUGAUGUUGUUCUGUGAGCAGUUGUUUGCAGAAGGUGUAGCUCUGCACCUUUUUAAAAAUAGAGGUUUGAUCUUGUCUUCCAGGUUGGAAAAGACCCAGAAAUCAAGGUCUGUGUUGGGCCCCAUGCAGCAAUAACCUGGACUUUGGGAAAUUUUUUCUGAGACUACUUUGAGUAAAUCAUUUGUCCCAUG
rnacentral:lncRNA from 1 species